CAUACAUCUUGGCGUUGCCGUUAUAGACCAUGUCGGUCUUCACAUAGUUCGCCGACGCGGUGAAUCCGCUGACAAGACCGAACGGCAGAUCGGCGGGGAGACCAAGUGUGCCCGAUGCAANNNNNNAUAGCCGAACACGGAGUAGGGCGUGCUGCGGCUGCCCUGCGACAGCAUCGCCUGCGUCGCGUAUUCCUGCAUGGUGCCGAGCGUGCCACCGAUCGCGGCAUUGGCGGUCUGUCCGACGGCGGACUGGCCUGCGUAGGAACUGGCCAUCUGGUCGUAGGUCGUCAGCCCCUG
rnacentral:misc_RNA from 1 species